AGUUUUCGAAAUGUCGCAUUGUUUUGGUUUUUUAGUUUAGUUUUUGGAAAUCACGAUUCUUCGCAUUUGUCGAGUUUUUCGAUGAUUUGCAUAGAAAGACAGUACAUUAAAUUUCUACAGCAACGAACCAUCAUGAUUCGUUAAGUAGCGAUCGAAAGAAAAGAUAAUCAAGGGUGACCCUACCAACAAAAAUGAAUUUACACUCCAAGCAACUCUAAUAGAGUCUAUUUGCAAAGUCGAUAUUGUCGUUGAACUACUCGCAGCAAUUUCCAAACGUCUUUCCUGUCUACCACUAUUCUUUGAUUUCUUUUACUCUUU